AUGUUGCAAGUAGACAAGCAUCUUGUCUUUCCUUUCACAAAUAUAUGCUAUUCAAAUCCUAGAUGUUGCAAAUAUUUCCUUGCAAGAUUGCGAUCUAAGCACUGCAAUAUGACUAGAGAGCAAGAAGUAUUACUCUAUGAAAGGAAAAUACCAGCUCAAAUUUCCUUCAGUUUGGAAACAUCACCCCCACUGAAGGAGUACCUAAUUCCAGGCAGCCAAACAAAACGACCGUUCAGGAAAGAAACGGAAAACCUUGUGCGCCUGUGCUUGGAUCCGGACGAGACUUGCCUGCUCCUUCCCCGUGCUCCCAUCUGUGCUCCCGCGUACGUGGCUUGA
rnacentral:rRNA from 1 species